rnacentral:SRP_RNA from 1 species
UGGAAGGUCGGGCGGACGGGCCUCUCGCGAACCCGGUCAGGUCCGGAAGGAAGCAGCCGCAACGAGUUUCGCCCGGGUCGUAUUCAAACCGGCCUUCC